AUGACUUCCAGCAUAAUGAGUGGCAGCAUUGAUCAUUUGAGUACUGGAUCUCCAGAUCAGGAAAGUAUGUUCAGUAUGGAGUCCCAUACAAUCCUGGCAGAAGAUAACGGUUCAGAAACUUUCAGUGUCCUACAGUCUCCUGAGUCAGCAAAUGUAUUAAUUAAUGAAGAAAAUGGAGAUUUGGUUGAUUUACAGAAACUUCCAAACAGUGACAGUGGCAUGGGUACUUCAGCUAUUAUAGAUACUUUGACGUCUGCAUCUCCUCUGAUGCUCGCAGAAGACUUGACAAGCAGUGUUGGUGGUGAAUGUAAUGGUGGUGUGGUUUCUGCAAGCAGUGAAUGCUGUCCUGGAAAGCUGAGCCAGGAGGAGGAGGAGGAGCAGGAUUUUCCUACAUUGUGUGAAAUAGAUGAAGACUUGGAUAAAAUGAAGAUGCAGGAUACUGAAAAAUCUUCUGAAGAUCCAGACCUUACAGACCAGAUGUUUCUGGAAUGUGAUAGUAUACUUGGUGUCCAGACAUCCCUGACACCAAAGGAAAGUGAUGAAGCUGGUGAGGAAGACAAACAGAAGCUCUCCCUAAUCCACAGUGCUCUUUCAGACCCUUCUGCGCUCCAGUGCGACGUCUCUGACAGUGUUCAUUCAGAUAACUGUUCCAUUUCUGGGUGGAAUUUUGAAAGUGCAAUCAAAGCUAAAUGUAGUACUAGCACUGCUGAAAGGGUUGCAGACACUCAUGAAAGUAAGACUGAAAAAUCUGCCUCAAGUGAUGAAGAGGAUAUUUAUGGACAUGGAUUACCAUAUUCAUCCUCGGAGACCAGCAUGCCUGAAGUUGGUGCUGUGCCUGGUGCACAGGAUGUAGCCAAGAUGAGCCUAGAUGAAAUGGUGCUGUUAAAAUCUGACCAGGUAUUUCUUUUCUGUUUAAUUAAAGUACCUUUAACCUUAAAAAGAAACAGCUUUUCAAAAGAAACAUUCCUGCAAUUACUGUCCUUUACAUCUUUAGGAGAGCAAAUUUUUUUCACUUGA
rnacentral:lncRNA from 1 species